GUUUCAUCACAAUAGGUAGGAUUUCCAUUGCAGUGUUGAAAAGGAGCAGUAAGAGGACAUCCUUAUUCCAGGUAUUAUUAGGAAGUCUUCCAAUCUCUCACUAAUUCAAGUUUCAUGAAUGGAGCUGCCUUACUUUUUGCGGGAUCCCUAAUGCCUAGAACAAUACCUGGCAUAUAAGAGGGUUAUUCUCCUGGGAUAGUACCUUUUACUGCCAAGAGACAGAAGUUACCUCAGAAGAUUGACAAGAUUAGUGAAAACAGCUCUUCGUUCUA